CACGCUGGCACGCCAAUCAUGACACAGCACCGGCCUUCUAAUCGCAUGACGGGAAGACGAAAGAGGUUUCGCAGUCCGUGGCCAAUGUCAACCUCAAGCCGGGAACGGCGGCCGUACGUGUGACAAGGGUAUUGCAGCAACAUCUGUGAGACCAACACAGCCGCAGACAUACACACUUCUCGGCCAAAGCAAUCCCAAAGCAUCCCUCCUUUUGUUUACAUUCCCCGGAGAAAUGUCUCAAGUGAGAUUGCUGGACUGUAACUGCCGUGCUCCCCGUGCCAAAGCUUCGUGUAAUCAGGUGACUGGAGGCCAUGCUGCACUCUGAAAUUUGAGACCUCCAUCACCAAUUCGCAGACAAAUUACUCGCGGUAAGUGAACAAGAGAAAAGCGCUCUCAGGCACAAAAAGUGACUGACUAGUGCUGACCUCAACUAAAAUCAUCUCAAAAGCUUGUGUUUGAAACUGCGCCAGCAUGAUUUCCUCUGGGCUAAAAGAAAAAAAAAAAAUCUGAAUUAUCCAGUGGAACCAAUGGGUGAGGAUGAAUCAAGUGGUUGUCUUCAAUUGUUGUACAGAGAAGAUUGCAAGACUACCUUGAGGCCUGCGUAGCUACGUCUCAAUUUUUUUCUCACAGGCGCAGUGAGAGGCACAAGAUGGAUUCCUAAUGGCCCAUCAUUUUUGUUGUUGCAGUUUGCAGUCCAUCACAAUGAG